rnacentral:lncRNA from 1 species
GAGAGCGGGAAAGGACUGCAGCCGGGGAGAGCAGGACGCGCCAUCUCCAUUGGCACCCUCUCCCGCCCCACUUCCAUCGCUAGAAAACUAAGGAUUCGGUGUUGGGACCACUCCUGCCCUGACCUGCCCUGUGACUCCGUCAUACUCUCCAAAGGCCAGACCCUCCUAGACCAGCUGGAACCACCAUCAAGAUGUCCCCAGCCAUGUCAGACUCUGGGGCCCCAGGCGGAGGGCAACCAGAUGUCUUCAGCUCCAAGUCUGGCCUCUCCUCCCAGCAAGCAGCCAACUGCAGAGACCUUGGAAAGGAUCAACCAUAUACAAUGUCCAUUUCCUGCCCUCUAACCUGGCAGGGGAGCAAGGCCCAGCCAAGGAGGUAACAGAUUCCUCCAACACAAACCACACCUUCCUUCCCCACCCCCACCACCUCCACACCCAGCUGCCUCUGUGGGGACUUCAGGGGGAGAGUGCACACAGUGGGGCCUCAAAGGUUAUGUAGCUUGAAUAAAUGAUCCUCCAGGCCUGGGGAGCCUCUCCGCUCCCUCCCCCAUUUCCUCUGGGAAAGGAAUGUGGGGUGGGCCCCAGAGGGUGGUGGCGGAGGGGGCCCAGGGCUGGGAAAUACCAGG